GGCGCCACGCGACCGGUUAGUACUUCCACCACUGCUGCUACACACGCCCGACUGGAGGCGCGACAUGAAGGGGCAGAAGAGUACUGUACCACUGUCGGCACCACCAUUAUCACCACCAUCUAUGCUCUCAUACACAGACCUUUUCCAGAGAGCACCAUCGCUACGUCAUGACGGACGCAGCCCUGUAUCAUGAAGAGCUGCUCGACCUCGAGCAACAGGUCGAAGCACUUCCCCUCGACGUGCACGCACCACGCCAGCAGGCUACCGUCGGCGUUGGCAACAGCAGUAGCAGCGGCGCAGGUAGAAGAGGGGGUGGGAACGUCAACGCUUCCUCUGCGCGUGCGGCGACGUUCGCUAAAGCCCAAGACAUUCUACGGCGGCUGAAUCGACUCCUGCAGCAGCUCCGAGUGGAGAUGCGCCUGCUGGACGGUGAGGAGCGCGGCGUGUACGAAGCACACGCAAGUGAGCAUGCAAGGAAGAUCGCGUCUCUGCGCGAGUGGGUGCAGCAGAGCAAAGAGCGUGCUGUCCAGAGCACCGCCGCCUCCAUGGAGGUCACUACAGCUGCGCCGUCGUCUCAAGGCCAACGCAGCACCAGCGUGCACUGGCCGCCGCGCGAGGGCGACAACGAUGAAGCCGAAGGAGGGGACGGCCCGGUGAUGCCGAACCGUGCGGAGGCUCGCCAGGCGGCGACGCGCAUCAACGAGGUGCAGCACAGCACCCUGCAGUCUCUUGGGCGCUCGGAGAAGCUGCUGAACGAGACUGAGACGCUCGGAAACGAGGCAGCCACGACGCUGCGGGCGCAGACGGAGCAGAUCAAGCAAACCACUGUCGAGCUGGACGAGAUGCGCUCCGAGCUCGGGCGUGCGAGCACGGAGUUGAAGUGUUUUAUGCGCCGCAUGGCUCGUGACAGGUUGAUCAUCUGUUUUGUGAUCGUCAUUGUGGUAUGCAUCAUCAUUACUGUGGUGUUGGCGGUGCUCAAGCACAAGUGGCGGUGAAGGAGGCGGAGGAGGAUCAAGGGGAGGGGGGGAGGUGCACAACGAGCUGGUACGCAUGUGUGCAUGCCGAUCUUCACUGGAAGGUUCUUGCUGCGCAGCUGUGCAGUGCCUCCGCGUGCUUCUCAUGCAUUUACUCUCAUGCACUCGUUGCGGACUGUCUGCCGCCCACACCUCCUCAACGUCAUCCGCAUUUCUGUGUGUGUGUGUGUGCCGGGUGCGCGCACUUGUGUACGCGUGCGGCUGCUCGUCUCUAUGCACCGUUUCCAGCAGAGCCGAAACUGGUCAAGGCUUCCACCACGCCGCUUUUGUUUCACGGAGGUGUGCACACGUCUCUCAUUCUCUCUGAUUGCUGCUGUCGUUGUGUAGGUGCGCGUGAUGAGUGCCCUCUUCGAGCACACGCGCACGUAUCCAAAGGAGAGGCCUCCACCCCCCACCUCGCACGCCCGCAUGGUGUAUGUGUAUGUGUGUGGCGUGGCUCUGCAGGGCGGAUGGUAAGGCGUGUAUGCUGUCCUUAUGUUCU
rnacentral:misc_RNA from 1 species